AGUUGAUUUGCAGAAAGUCAGAGGUUAGCAGGUUUGCUUUAUAGAAAAAAAAACCCAGAUGAUUUUGUAUCAAGGCUUUUAUCAAGAAAGCCAGUUGCAGUCAAAUGAUGCCUAGAUAAUCAGAAGCAAUUGUUAUGGAGGAUCUAUGACUGUGGCAAUUAACCUCAUUCUACAGGUGUUUGAUUUGAAUAUGGGACACCUAUAGUCAACUCCCUCUACUCAGCUAGUUUAAACUGGAUGACCUUCUGCUACCUGGUCACUGCUACCAACAUAAGUCACACAUUUUAAAGGGCCAAAGUGUGUUCAAACUCUGAAAUUAUCAACUAACAAAAAUGGUGUUGCCUACUUUGCUAUCCUGGGCCACAUGCUGCCCAUGGGCCACAGGUUGAACAAGCCUGGGAUAGACUGAUGUAAAGAGCUUUGGAUUUUCUUCCCAUCAAUUGACUACUUUGCUAAAGCUAAUUCUUCAAAAAGUCCAAAUUGAUCGUUUGGAAGAAGAA
rnacentral:lncRNA from 11 species